AACAGAUUUGCCUAUUGGAUGUGACAGGGCUGUUCAAAGAGGCCUCACUGUGUCUGCUCUUGGACCUACUCGUGAUUCAAGGCUGUGUCUCCUCUUUGCACAUAAGACAGUUUAGUGCUGUGACUGAAUACCAGAUAGGAAGAGGAUCAUAAGUUUCUGUUAUAUCUGGAUCUAGAUCAACAGGAGGACCUGUGGGCAUCAUGGAACUGACCAUCCUGGAUGAGAAUGCUACUGGGCUGCUUUUCUGAAAUGUCAAAAAAUAUCACUGAUUGCAACCCUUGCAUUUCGUAACAAUACCUUUCUCAGGAUGGAGACACCAUCUCUGUCACCUGCCUUGGGGUGAAAAAG